CUGCGCUGCGCCGCCCGGCCUCACUCCGCGGCCCGCCAGGACCCGGCCCCGGUGAACGGGCUCGGGGUGCCGAGGUCCGGCUGCGGGGCCGGGAAGCCACCUCCACCUUGCCGUCUGUUACGACCCCCGAGGCGCAAGGCUGAGCCCCAUCUCGCUAUCCGGGUCCGGAGGGGUUCACCUUAGAAGGAUUUUUUGAAGCUCUUGGCGCUGGCUCUAAAAGAACCCACUUCCUUGCGGAUUUCAGGAGUCAAGAAUCCUUAAACGGAGCCAAUUUGCUUUGUAAAGCCAAUUGCCCAAGUGACUUGAGUUCGAAAGGAGAUACUUCCUGGACAACUGCUAUAAAAACAACAACAAAUACUUUUAUUAAUUCGGGGAGCCUGGUCACCAACUGGAUGCUCAGGGGAGAUGGAACCCUGAGCAGCCCAUGUACAUGGAAGAUCUUUAUUGCAGAGAUCUUCAAACCAGGAAACUGAGGCUAAAGAGUUUAGUAUUCUGCCAAGGCCAGCUAAUAGUUACAGAGCAUGGUUCCAAAUUCAGAGCUGUCGGAAGCUUAAGCCCAUGUGAUGAACCACGAAUGUGAUUUUACCUCAUUUAAGCCUUGCAGCAAACUCUGCCAAGCUGUCUCUACCAGGCCAGAAUUUGGGGCAGGCAAGAUUUUCAGCAUCCCUAAAAUCACACUAAGAAGAUAAACAUGGAAACAGCUUGGAGCUGCCCUACCCAUAGUGAGGUGGUACUGACUGGAAGACAGCUUAAACGAUUUGGAGAAAAGUGGAAUACAUUAAUCUCAGAAAACUCUACCACCUGUAGAAAGAGAGCUAAAAUGGAGACAACCACAGGCAGUCUAAGAUACGCUGAACUACUACAGAAAAUAAUGCAGCAUGAAGGAAUGCUGGAAGGUAUGGGGUCAGAGCAAGCUGAUGGAGGGUCCUUCAUUUCCAAGCCACGAGUACAGCAGGAUGUAAGGCUUAGUUCAUAAGAACAUCUCCUGAAAGACAAUCUCUAUAAAAACUGUUUCAAUAGAAAGAAUGCAAGAUGUAACUGUUUAAUAAUAGGACUGAUAUUUUAAAAAACAAAUGAACGUAAUAGAAGACUAGAUGGAUGUGCUUCUCAAAGUCCUCUCUGUGGGAGGCUUCAUCCUCACUCUAGAUGUGUUGCCUGUAGCAGCUGUUAUUGAUUACCCGCCCAUAGCCUAUCCAUACUUACUCAUCAUUCCUUUACCUACCAGUGGCAUCCUAUUGGAAGCACCUGCGACUUUCUUAGGGCUUUCUCUUGGCCAAGCAUUGGAAGGCCAGCAGUAUUGAAAAGUUAAUAGUCUUGGAAGCACUGGCCCUCAACUAAUGACAAAGAAAAAAUAUAAGAUAAAUUCCCCAGCUUCCUUGCCUCCUGAAUGGGUCAAGUCUGUGGUGUGUUCUACCCGUUUUUCAGAGGUCCCAUGUUUUAAACCCUAGCUGCUCAAGGCAAUUUCCUGAUCAUUGAUGUACUCUCUAUUGGCUAAUUUUUAGAUAAUAUGGAAUAUGCUCAAAAUAGGAUACUCAAAGAAAAAAUCAGAUGCCAAAAUUAUGUACACCGAAUGAGUUCAAUUCUGUAUAAGUGUGGACAUACACACAUCAAAAGAAAUAUGGAACAAAAGAUACUAAAUGUUUAUAGUGGUUAUUUCUGGGUGUUGAAAUUUUAAGUGAUUUUCCUUUUCUUCUUUGUAAUUGUCUCUAUUUUUCAGUUUUUUCAAUAUACCCUGUAUUUCUUUUAAAA
rnacentral:lncRNA from 1 species